UCUCCGUUGGUGAACCAGCGGAGGGAUCAUUACAGAGUUGCAAAACUCCCAAACCAUUGUGAACGUUACCUAUCCCGUUGCUUCGGCGGGCGGCCCGGGCCCCGCGCCCGGCGCCCCCCGGCCCCCCGUGGGCGCCCGCCGGAGGUAAACCAAACCCUUGAAUUGCAUGGCCUCUCUGAGUCCUCUGUACUGAAUAAGUCAAAACUUUCAACAACGGGUCUCUUGGUUCUG
rnacentral:misc_RNA from 1 species